GAUUAGAGUUUGAUCCUGGCUCAGGAUGAACGCUAGCUACAGGCUUAACACAUGCAAGUCGAGGGGCAGCAUAACGAAAGCUUGCUUUUGUUGAUGGCGACCGGCGCACGGGUGAGUAACGCGUAUCCAACCUUCCCUAUAGUAGAGAAUAGCCCGGCGAAAGUCGGAUUAAUGCUCUAUGUUGUAUUUAGAAGACAUCUGAAGAAUACCAAAGGUUUACCGCUAUAGGAUGGGGAUGCGUCUGAUUAGGUAGUAGGCGGGGUAACGGCCCACCUAGCCGACGAUCAGUAGGGGUUCUGAGAGGAAGGUCCCCCACAUUGGAACUGAGACACGGUCCAAACUCCUACGGGAGGCAGCAGUGAGGAAUAUUGGUCAAUGGACGGAAGUCUGAACCAGCCAAGUAGCGUGCAGGAUGACGGCCCUAUGGGUUGUAAACUGCUUUUAUAUAGGGAUAAAGUCGGGGACGUGUCCCCGUUUGUAGGUACUAUAUGAAUAAGGACCGGCUAAUUCCGUGCCAGCAGCCGCGGUAAUACGGAAGGUCCAGGCGUUAUCCGGAUUUAUUGGGUUUAAAGGGAGCGCUGGCUGAUGAUUAAGCGUGACGUGAAUGUAGCCGCUCAACGGCUGAACUGCGUCGCGAACUGGUUAUCUUGAGUGAGUUCGAUGUUGGCGGAAUUCGUGGUGUAGCGGUGAAAUGCUUAGAUAUCACGAAGAACUCCGAUUGCGAAGGCAGCCAACAAGGCCUUUACUGACGCUAA
rnacentral:rRNA from 1 species